rnacentral:rRNA from 1 species
UACAGAGGUCCCAAGCGUUGUUCGGAUUCACUGGGCGUAAAGGGUGCGUAGGUGGCGGGGUAAGUCUGAUGUGAAAUCUCCGAGCUUAACUCGGAAAGGUCAACUGAUACUGUGCGACUAGAGUGCGGAAGGGGCAACUGGAAUUCUCGGUGUAGCGGUGAAAUGCGUAGAUAUCGAGAGGAACACCUGCGGCGAAGGCGGGUUGCUGGGCUGAUACUGACGCUGAGGCGCGAAAGCCAGGGGAGCGAACGGG